rnacentral:sRNA from 1 species
UUUUAUUUGGGCGGGUUGUUGUCUCUUUGACACAUUCCCCAUUUCCAUUCUCAAUUUUAUAUUGAAUGAUGCGGUUGUUCAGAUAAAUUGAAAUAAAAUUGAGAAUGGAAAUGGGGAAUGUGUCAAAAGGACAACUACCCGACCAAAGAAC